rnacentral:piRNA from 3 species
GCCUGGGAACACCACGUGAUGUUGGCUU